AUUCUUGAUCCAUUGAAAUAAUAAUGUCAUUAGACGAAUUUGAUGAAUUAUUGAAUACAAAAAAAAAAAAAAAAGAACAUAUCGUAUUCGCAAUUACAUAUUGCAAUAUAUAUUGCAUUACAUGUGAUAAUUUCCUUUUUGUCUAUGGGAAGAGAGGAAAGAAGAUAGAACGUAAAACAAAUAAAGAUAAGACGCAUUGCAAUAUCAGAAAAUCAUAAUAUCAUUAUUAAAACAAAAUUAAAAAUUAGGCGAUAAUGCUAUAUCUUCAUCGCUUGAUUUUAAAAAUUGAAGAUAAUAUUGGUAAAUCGAUUAAAACAAAUCAGUAAAUCAUGCAGUUACGAUUCGUAGUCGGAUACUAUUAUGUGAUAUCAUUCCUCAGAAAAAUAUCAAGUUAAAGACAAAUUUAAUGAUGAGAUUAUCGAUUCAAGAAAAAUAUAAAUAAAUAUGCCGCGAUCUGAAAAGUAUAAGAAUAUUAAGAACUGAUUAAGAACUGAAAUAUUGCGCGAAAUCUAAUAAAAAAUUCGGAAAUAGGAUAAAGAUAUUAAUCGUUAAUAAAUAUAAGAAACUGGUUGAAACUAUGAAUAAUCAAAUAUAACAUCAAAUUGAUACAAAAAAAAAAAUAAUGAGCGAUAAAUUUGUGCAUUAUCUGUGAAAAUAUAAAUAUAAAAAAGAAAAAGAAAUACAUACAUCAAAUGUUUGUAAUGCCUAUCAAAGCGAAGAAACAAAAUUUCCAGAAGAGAAAUAGAAAAAGAAAUGAUAGCAAUAGAAGCGAUAACAGCAAUGAAGCUCGCAUUAACAAAUGUGUAAAAUGUACGGAUAUACUUUUCUUAUUGUUGGAAGCGUUUACACGUAUAUAAAAAGCUUGUUUGCAUAUAAAAAAGUUGAAUAAGAAAAAGUGAAAAUUGAUAGUAGAGUUACAUAAGUAACGUGUUAUAUUUGUAAGAUGAAUUUUCCGAAAUAAUGAUUUAUCGUUUGAUAAUUUACAACAAAUAUAAUUGGCGAAAGAUCAUAUAAAACAAAAUUGUAUAUUAUUUUUUUACAUAUAUUUUUCAAUGCUGCAAUUGAUGUUAUGAAGCUAUAAGAACAUUGUUUUAUUAAUGAUUUUAAUUUCUGAUUUUAUGGCUCUUAUAUGAUUUAAUUCAUGCAAUGUUUUUAAAUCAAAAUUUGAUAUAUAAGAGAUUUAUGAAGAUAUCAUAAUUUACAUUUUGACCUUUCAAACAAGAUUACGAUAUCUGCAAUUUACAUAAUUAAUUGUAAGAAAUGAAAAUCAAUUCUUUAUCUGUUGAAUUAUGCAAUGGUACGAGAUUAUUAAAGAGGAUAUAAUAAUGAGGACAGAAUAAUUGGAUAUAAGCCAAAAAGAUUAAAGCAACGAUUAGUUCAGGAUUCCAAGAUGUCAGUUAUAAUAAGAGAAUCUCACAAUGCGAAUGGUGCUACAACUAUUACAACAAUUCAUAAUUGGUUUAAGAGAUAUAGAGCUGGCAAUUUUGACUUGAAAAAUGAAGAUCUCUGCGGCCGCCCAGCAACAACAAAUACCUUAUCAAAGCCAUGCUCGCUGAAAAUCCGCGAUACAAUGUGCAAGUGGAUAGUGGAUAGCCACUAACAUUUUCAGGAAAACGAUAGAUAAUCACCUGACCAAGAUGGGAUGUGAAAUUUGAACUUUACAGUUAGGACGAAGAUCGACUUUUUGAACUCUACGUGCGAUUUCUUUUUUCAGAGACAUCAAAGAGAUCCUUUUUUAAAGAGGCUUAUCAUUGGAGAGUAGACUUGGAUUUUGUAUCAAAAUGCAUUGAAAACGCAUUUGAUUUAAAGACAAAAAAAAACCUUCAAUUGUUGCGAAACUUAGACUUCAUCCGAAGAAAGUUCUUUCAUCCAUUUGUUGAGAUUGGAAAGAUGUAAUCUACUAUGAGCUCCUUUCUCAAAUGAAACUAUCAAUUAGAAAAUAUUACAAUCAACUCGAUAAAUUGAAAGCCGCUAUAGCAAAAAAAUGGUCAGAAUUGGCAAAUCGAAGAAACCAUUAUGACAAUGCAAAACCGUAUAUUGCAUUGACUGUAAGAGAAAAGCAGUCACAGUUUGGUUGGGACAUUCUAUCGUAUCUUCUGUACUCUUCAGAUCUUGCUCUAUCCGAUUAUUACUUGUUCCUGUUAUUAAAAAAUUCUUUUCAUGAUAAAUGGCUCCAAUCCGUAAGCGAAAUAAAAACCUCGAGAAAUAUUUUGCAAAUAAACCCCAACAAUUUUGGAAAAAAGGAAUAAUGAGGCUGAGAGAUGGAACGUGAUAGAGAAGAACGAAAAUAAUAUUAUAAAUUUGAUGAAAGAAAAGGCAAGAAAAAGCUCUUGUCAAAUUAAUUCUUACUGGUUUGUCAAUUAAAAAAAGAUUGAAAAAUCAAAGAAGAGAAAAAAUAAUGAAAAAACGUAUAAAAGGAUAACAUAUAAAAAAUAUAAAACGUAUAAAUUUUUGAAUGAGAAAUGAUAGAGAUAGAAAAAUCAAAAUUAUAAUAAUAAUAAUAACAAGAAAAUAUUACUAAAAAAUCAAGUAAAAAAUUAUUAAUAAACAUGUAUAUAUAAAAAUAAAUCAGAAUCAGAAAAUAAAAAUGUUUUAUAUUUAAUUUGUCUUAAAAUCUAAACAAGAUGAACAAUGAAUUCAUUUUAGGAAUACAAUAAUAAUUGUUACAUAUAAAGUAUAACAAACUUAUUGAUGAAAUACUCAAGUUAACAAUUGCGAUAUCUAUAUAUAAUCAACGAAAGAUCGAUUAGUAUUAGCAUUUGAUAUAAAAUUUUGUUUGUUUUUCGAAUUUUUUCUUUCGUCCUUGUUCUAAUUUCAAUAUAAGUUUAAAAUUUGUAAUAAAUAUAAUAUAUAGGUAUAUAAUUGUGUAUAUAUAUAUAUAUCUUUUUGCGUUGUAACACGGACAAUCGAUUA